UACGUAGGGUGCGAGCGUUAAUCGGAAUUACUGGGCGUAAAGCGUGCGCAGGCGGCGCGUUAAGACAGGUGUGAAAGCCCCGAGCUUAACUUGGGAAUUGCGCUUGUGACUGGCGAGCUGGAGUGUGGCAGAGGGAGGUGGAAUUCCCGGUGUAGUGGUGAAAUUCGUAGAUAUUCGCAGGAACACCAGUGGCGAAGGCGACUUGCUGGAUCUUUGCUGACGCUGAGACGCGAAAGCGUGGGGAGCAAACAGGG
rnacentral:rRNA from 1 species